UACGGGGGGGGCGAGCGUUGUUCGGAAUUACUGGGCGUAAAGGGUUUGUAGGUGGCCUGCUAAGUCAGACGUGAAAUCCCUCAGCUUAACUGGGGAACUGCGUCUGAUACUGGCGGGCUUGAGGACAGGAGGGGGAGGCGGAAUUCCCGGUGUAGCGGUGAAAUGCGUAGAUAUCUGGAGGAACACCGGUGGCGAAGGCGGCGUUCUGGACUGUUUCUGACACUGAGGAGCGAAAGCGUGGGGAGCGAACAGG
rnacentral:rRNA from 1 species